GAGGGUAUAGCUCAGUGGUAUAACCCAUGCUUAGCAUGCAUGAGGUCCUGGGUUCAAUCCCCAGUACCUCCA
rnacentral:tRNA from 1 species